AUUGAACGCUGGCGGCAUGCUUUACACAUGCAAGUCGAACGGUAACAGGCCUUCGGGUGCUGACGAGUGGCGAACGGGUGAGUAAUGCAUCGGAACGUGCCCAGAGGUUGGGGAUAACGCAGCGAAAGCUGUGCUAAUACCGCAUGUGAUCUGAGGAUGAAAGCGGGGGACCAGGCAGCAAUGUUUGGCCUCGCGCCUUUGGAGCGGCCGAUGUCAGAUUAGGUAGUUGGUGGGGUAAAGGCCUACCAAGCCGACGAUCUGUAGCUGGUCUGAGAGGACGACCAGCCACACUGGGACUGAGACACGGCCCAGACUCCUACGGGAGGCAGCAGUGGGGAAUCUUGGACAAUGGGCGCAAGCCUGAUCCAGCAAUGCCGCGUGAGGGAAGAAGGUCUUCGGGUUGUAAAACGCUUUUGUACGGAACGAAAAGGCUCUGGCGAAUACCUGGGGCUGAUGACGGUACCGUAAGAAUAAGCACCGGCUAACUACGUG
rnacentral:rRNA from 1 species